CCAAGAGUUAAAAAUUAUUUGAUAAAAACAAAAGAAUAUCAGAAUUCUUACUAUAUAUAAUAAAAGAAAUUAUAUGGUUUCAAUUUGAUCAAACAAUUUCCUAUUUAUUACAUUUGCAAAAGAAGAAAAAUAAUUAUGGUUUCAAGUUUCAAGCUCUUUUAUGCUUUGGUUAUUUUUAUUUCUCUAUUUAUGGUUUUAACCAACAGUAGUAAGUUAUAUUCUUGUAUUAUUUUCAACUUUUUUAUAUACAUAAUGUUUACUUAUCUUUUAGUAAUUUAUUCAUUUUUUAAUAUCGCAGCUCGGUUCCCCUUAAAUCCACUUCGCUGCAUUGAAGAUGAUGAUUGUCCUUGGGAUAUGUGUCUUCACACUAAUUUAGAUCGGAUAUGUAUUAAUGAUGCUUGUUUUUGCGGAUGACUUUUAGAAAAAUAAAUCUAUAUUACUCAUUAACAACGAAUAAUGUUACUUGUAAAUGAAGUUUACAAAAUAAUAUUUAAAUAAUUUUUGGCUUCUCUAUUUUGAUAAAAGUGAAAUUAAUGGUUAAAGUUGUUAUGAAUAAUAUUCAAUUCGGAUGUGCUGGUCCAUUUUCAGGAUAAAAA
rnacentral:lncRNA from 1 species